ACCUCUCUAUAUUUUCUUUGUUGAAUAUUCAAAAGGUUAAGUGAUAAGUAGUGAAGAUGGUUAGGAAAGUUGCUCUGCUGAGUGUUCUGGCAUGGCUCCUGGUGGUGGCAUCAAUUGUCAUCUGCUCAAAUGCAGCUGCAGGGACUCCUACUGAUAAGCUUAAGCUUGAUAACGUGGUUUAUCCUCAAGCAGGUUGUCGCUGCUGCAAUUUUGUCAGGAACAAACACGGGCUUCUCCAAUGUGGGAAGACGUGUUGUGUUGACGGCUGCUGUGGUUGAAAUGUGUUCACUCACUGCACACUGUGCAAGGGAAUAAUAAGCCGGAGAAAUUUCCUCAAGAAUGUCCCUUUUUUUGUUUUAAUGAAAUGAAGUCUUGAUCUAUAAAUAAGUUUUUCCUUAAAUGGUUCUCUCAUGUAAGGAAGUGCCUGUAAGAUCAUGAAUACAUAUAUGUACUACAAUUUCCUCAA